rnacentral:pre_miRNA from 1 species
UUCUGUUCCCGGAUUGUCACAUAUUUUUUAAAUAUUAAAUAUGUGCAUCCGGGAGUAGAUCU